rnacentral:misc_RNA from 1 species
AAGGAGUCUAACAUGUGUGCGAGUAUUUGGGUGGCAAGCCCUGAUGCGGAAUGAAAGUGAGCGGUGGGAUCCUCGGAGCACCAUCGGCCGCUCGUGGGUGCACGCACCUGCGAGUGAGCAGGAGCAUACAUGCUGGGACCCGAAAGAUGGUGAACUAUGCCUGAGAAGGGUGAAGCCAGAGGAAACUCUGGUGGAGGCUCGUAGGAGUUCUGACGCGCAAAUCGAUUCUCAUACUUGGGUAUAGGGGCGAAAGACUAAUCGAACCAUCUAGUAGCUGGUUCCCUC